UAGAUCUACCACUGUUCAUGCGGGACCUGGCAUAAAGCAUUCCCACGUCUCGGCCUCCAUUUCCCCAUCUGUGAAACGAGAGCACUGGUCAGCUCUUCACAUGCAGCGUUUGUGGGAUGAAUCCUUCCAUCUGUCCAUCCAUCCCGCCAACAUCCAUGCACAAACAUUUAGCACCUGCUGCAUGCUGUCAGGGACUAUGGCAGGAAAAGAGUUGAAACAGACACGUCCCAGGCCUCCAGCCCCUCACACCACGGAGAGGAAACAGAUGCCCGCAAAGGAGGAGGCACCCCUCAGGGGGCCAGCGCUGCGACACGGUGGAGGCAGGGAGGCCGUCUCUAAGCAGCCUGCGAGUCCCCGCGCUGCACCGUGGCUUUGAGGAGUGGCGGGGGCCGAGGGGCCGGUCUCUCUUCCGGGGGAGAUUCCUCCCCUCACCCCGGCAUUACUCAGCGCCCUGAACUGUCUGCCUCCCUCCAGCCGGCCCUCCUCGUCUUCCUGGAGCGCAGCACAAAGGUCCUGUUGUGGCCGCGGCCCGGGCCGCGGGCGAGCCUCUCUGGAUGGUGGUGACUCAGUCUCUUGCCAUUUCCUUUGUGCGGCUCCGGGGCUCCUCGCUGGGAGCGGAGUGUGUCUGCAGGGCUGGGGGCGGGAGCCGGGACCCACAGCCCGACAGCGAGCCUUUCAUGUGGGCAGGGGGCUUCCCGCACGCAAUGCGAACCUACGCCUGGAGCUUCCCAAAGACAGCGUCCGGCGCAGGAACGCGAGAUGCUGGCCGCCUCGCCUCUGGCCCCCGCGAGCAUCAAAGCGCGUGCCGUCGAGGGGGCACGUGUCCCCCAUCGGGCGCGCCUCUGCUCCUAGUCCCCUGAAUGAACACAUCCUUAUGAAAAGUGGAAAUUAGCCGCCGAAGGGAAGGGCCCGGAGAGCUUGGGAAGCGACCUAGGCUGCCAGCCUCCCGGCGGGUCUUUGGUCCCAGCUCUGAUGACCUGUCAGCAGCCGCAGGACCUGCGCUUAAAGGCGCCUCUCCAGGCCUGGCUCAGGGUGGGGCUCCUCGUGCUCAGCACCCUGGUCAAGGUUAGGGCUGGGUGUGCGCUGGAGGCUUGGAGUGCCAGGGCACCCAGUGAAGAGCGAAUGAAUGAACGAGUGAACACCGGACUGGGGGCCUGCAGACGGUUCUUCGCAGGUUAAUUAGAAGGCCUCUAGCAAGCUGCAGCGGAGGCAUUUCAGGCAUCCUUCAGAGAGGACCCUCGGCCUGGCUCCUAAGGGCCCCUGGUCUGGCUCUCACCCCCUGCUCUGGUGGCAUUUCUGCUCACUCAGCCUUUACCCUUUACACGCCAGCCGCUCUGAACAGUUUAUUCUUCUGGGAGCACAUCAUGUUCUUGCUCACAUCCAGGUUUUGCGUAAGCUGUUCCUGCUGCAAGGAAAACCCUUCCUGUGUCCUCCUCAGGUGAGAGCUCCCGCAGGCAGCUUCUCCCCGGAGUCUGGCGUAAGUGUUCCUCCUCUGCACGCCUCUGAGGACAUUUGCAAAGGUCUGUCAUAGGGCUUACCACCCCGUUACCUGUUUGUUUCCACCAGGGAGUGCGCUGAAGCUGAGAGGGAAUGAGUGAGUGAAUGAAGGGCUUGAGAAAGGAAAUUUCUUCACCCUCCAGUGCCCUCUGGAUGGAAAGAAUCCCAAGAGACCAGUGAAGCAAGAAAUUAUCAAAGCUGCGGUAUUUACGAAGUCACUUUGUGCCAGUGCCCCAGCAAGCUGCCACCAUGGCUGCCAAGCCCUGUCACCCUUGCUGAUCAGUACAGAGAGGGGCUCGCUGCGCUGGGUAGAGGAAGCAGGAAGUUUGCUGAACUCAGACGGAAGAAAAAGGAUUCCUCUGGAGAAUCCCAGCAGGUUUCUGAUUGGACAUGGGUCCAUGUCCUUGUGAAGUCUCCUCCUCCUGAACCUGCCCUGCUCUGUGACUUGCUUUUGACCACCAGCAUGCUGCAGAAGUGAUGCCGUGUGACUUCUGAGUGGGUCAUAGGAAGCCUUGCAGUGUGGCCUGGGUCUUCAGGAAUGCUUGUUUGAGGAAAACCACUGUCAUGUAAGAAGUAUGGCUACCCUGAGACUGUCAUGGUGUGAGGACUCCUAAAUGAGUCACAUGUGGAUGGCCACCUAUUCAGGCCUCAGUUCUUCCAGCCAUUGCGACUGUGGCCCACGCAUGUGGGGGAAGAGGCCAUUUUUCACGCCCAUCCCAGUUGAGUCUUUAGAUGAUCCCUUCCUGGGCCUCCAGCUGACUGUAACCAGACUCCAGGCAGGAACCACAUAGGAACUGAACCCAGUCAACCCACAGGCUGGGGAGGAUGAUAGUCCAUUGUUGUAUAAAGCCACUGCAUUUGGAAUGGUCUGUUGUAUACUACCUAAUCAGAACAAGACUCAAUCCUUUCUUCAUAGCUGGUAGUCUUAAGCAUUUAUUAAUUCAUAUUUUAGUCACAUUAUGAAUUUUCUAUCACAAUAAGCAUUUAUUGAGCACUUUUUAUAGAGGGACUAUGCUAGGCUUGAAGAAUAAAAGACACAUAGGACACGGCCCUGCUUAUGUUCAGGUAGCUGUGGUCUAAACGAGGACGCACACAUAAGGUGAAGACCCCAUGAGAUGGAAUACACGGGGAUAACAAGCCUCACAGUGGACUGGUCGCUUUACCAGGGGUGAGGCGAUUCUGCCUAUAAGGUAGGGAAGGACUUUCUGAAAGGGUGACACUGAGUUCCACCUUGAAAAAUGCCUGAGAAUUCACCCAUAGACACAGUGGAAGAGGGGUGUUCCGAGGAAGGGAGAUCAAUGUGCAGAGAGACAGAAAUCCCGGUUCGCUUAUUCCCAACAAGGCAGAGAACAAACCUCUCCCAGUGAUGCCCUCCCUUGUUCCCGUCCCCAAUCUUUUGAUAAUAGUGGGAAGGGUUUCAAAGUGAGGGUUAAAAAUGGGCUGGUUUUGCCACCCCUUAGUAAGUCUUGGGCAGGAUUCUCAACUCUUGACACUCAUUAAAAUCACCUGGGAAGCUUUUGCAAAACUCCAGCAUGGUACAACUACUUUAGAAACUGGUGUUAUCCAUUAAAACUAAACAUUUGCUUAUCUUAGCAAUUCCACUCCUAGGUUUAUAGAGUAAACAGAAACACAUACGUGCCUGUGUCAAAAAACAUGUAUAGGCAUGUUCAAGACCACACUGUUUGGCCAAGUGCCCUAGUUCAUGCCUGUAAUCCCAGCAUCUUGGGAGGCCAAGGCGGGAGUAUUGCUUGAGGCCAGGAGUUUGAGACCAGCCUGGGCAUCAUAGUGAGACUCCCAUCUUGACACACACACAGUUUUUUUUUUUAAUUAGCUGGGUGUGGUGGCGUGCACCUGUAGUCCUAGCUACUUGGGAGGCUGAGGUGAUAGGAUCCCUUGAGCCCAGAAGUUCAAGGCUGAAAUGAGCUAUGAUUGUGUCACAGCACUCCAGUAUGGGCAACAGAGAGAUCCUAUGUCCAAAACAAAAACAAAAACAAAACAAAAAUACACACAUUAUUUGUAAGAUGUAAAAAAAGGGAACAAUCCAUGUGUAUCAAUAGAAUAGUUAUAUGCUGUGUAUGCGUAAUUAGUGUCUUAACCUGUUCAGGCUGCUGAAUACCUCAACUGGGUAAUUUACAAACAACAGAAUUUAUGGCUCAUGGUUCUAGAGGCUAGGUAGUCUAAGAUGCAAACGUCAACAGAUUUGAUGUCUGGUAAGGCCCUGUUCAUCAUAGAUGGCACCCUUUUGCUGUGUCCUCACAUGGCAAAAGGGACAAACAGGAUUUUUUCAAGCCUCUUUUAUGAGGGUACUAAUUCCAUUUAUGGGGGGAGAGCCUUUGUAACCCAUUCACUUCCUAAAGCCCCCACCACUUAAUACUAUUGGAGAUUAGAUUUCAAUAUAUGAAAUUUGGGUGGGACACAAACAUUCAUACCAUAGCGGGCAGACAAUGUAAUACUAUACAGCAAUGAAAAGAAAUGAACAACAGCGACCCAGAACAACAUGAAUGAACUUUUUUUUUUUUUUUGACAGAGUCUUGCUCUAUUGCCCAGGCUGGAAUGCAGUGACACAAUCUUGGCCCAACCUCCACCUCUUGGGUUCAAGCAAUUCUCCUGCCUCCGCCUUCCGAGUAGCUGGGAUUACAGGCACACGCCACCAUGCCCAGCCAAUUUUUGUAUUUCUAGUAGAGAUGGGGUUUUGCCACGUUGAUCAGGCUGGUCUUGAACUCCUGACCUCGGGUGAUCCGCCUGCCUCAGCCUCCCAAAGUGCUGGGAUUGCAGGCAUGAGCCACUGCGCCAGGCCCAUGAAUGAAUCUUAAAAAUAAAAUAGUGAAUCAAGGAAGUCAGACACAAAGAGUACAUACUCUACGGCUGCAUUUCUAUAAAUAUCAAAAAGAGGCAAAACAAAUGUGUGGUGUUAGAAAUCAGGAGAGUGUUACUAUCCUGGGGAGGAAGGAGAAGACCUGAAGGAACUUGAGGGGGGCUUUGGCCUGCUGGUAGAGCUUUUUUUUUUUUUGUCUCGAUCUAGGUGGUAGUUACAUACGGAUAUUCACGUUGUAAAAGUUUGCCAAGGCUUUAAUGUAAUUAUCUGAUGCAUAUUAUAAUUAAAAUGGAAAGUUUGUUUUAAAAGUACCAGUGCUUGGUCUCCACCCCUAUGGACUCUGGUUUUAUUGCUCUGGGAAGGAGCUC
rnacentral:lncRNA from 1 species